GGUGCCAUAGCUCAGUUGGUAGAGCAAUGGACUGAAAAUCCAUGUGUCCCUGGUUCAAAUCCAGGUGGCACCACAA
rnacentral:tRNA from 1 species